rnacentral:rRNA from 1 species
UACAGAGGUCCCAAGCGUUGUUCGGAUUCAUUGGGCGUAAAGGGUGCGUAGGCGGCGCGGUAAGUCGGGUGUGAAAUCUCGGAGCUUAACUCCGAAACUGCAUUCGAUACUGCCGUGCUUGAGGACUGGAGAGGAGACUGGAAUUUACGGUGUAGCGGUGAAAUGCGUAGAUAUCGUAAGGAAGACCAGUGGCGAAGGCGGGUCUCUGGACAGUUCCUGACGCUGAGGCGCGAAAGCGUGGGUAGCAAACAGG